rnacentral:rRNA from 1 species
CGGAGGAUCCAAGCGUUAUCCGGAAUCAUUGGGUUUAAAGGGUCCGUAGGCGGUUUGGUAAGUCAGUGGUGAAAGCCCAUCGCUCAACGGUGGAACGGCCAUUGAUACUGCCAGACUUGAAUUACUGGGAAGUAACUAGAAUAUGUAGUGUAGCGGUGAAAUGCUUAGAGAUUACAUGGAAUACCAAUUGCGAAGGCAGGUUACUACCGGUGGAUUGACGCUGAUGGACGAAAGCGUGGGUAGCGAACAGGAUUAGAUACCCUGGUAGUCCACGCCGUAAACGAUGGAUACUAGCUGUUGGUGGCAACAUCAGUGGCUAAGCGAAAGCGAUAAGUAUCCCACCUGGGGAGUACGUUCGCAAGAAUG